UACGAAGGGGACUAGCGUUGUUCGGAUUUACUGGGCGUAAAGCGCGCGCAGGCGGUCCUUUAAGUCUGAUGUGAAAGCCCACGGCUCAACCGUGGAGGGUCAUUGGAAACUGGGGGGCUUGAGUGCAGGAGAGAAGAGUGGAAUUCCACGUGUAGCGGUGAAAUGCGUAGAGAUGUGGAGGAACACCAGUGGCGAAGGCGACUCUUUGGCCUGUAACUGACGCUGAGGCGCGAAAGCGUGGGGAGCAAACAGG
rnacentral:rRNA from 1 species